GACGAACGCUGGCGGCGUGCUUAACACAUGCAAGUCGAACGGAAAGGCCCUGCUUUUGUGGGGUGCUCGAGUGGCGAACGGGUGAGUAACACGUGAGUAACCUGCCCUUGACUUUGGGAUAACUUCAGGAAACUGGGGCUAAUAUCGGAUAGGAGCUCCUGCUGCAUGGUGGGGGUUGGAAAGUUUCGGCGGUUGGGGAUGGACUCGCGGCUUAUCAGCUUGUUGGUGGGGUUGUGGCUUACCAAGGCUUUGACGGGUAGCCGGCCUGAGAGGGUGACCGGCCCCAUAGGGCUUGGGGUGCGACCCGUACUCAUUCGGGGGGCAGGGGUGGGAACUUUUGCCAGAUGGGCCGCGGCCUGGAGGAGCGACGCCGCGUGCGAAAUGACGGCUUUCGGGUUGUAAACCGCUUUCGCCUGUGACGAAGCGUGAGGGACGGUACUAGGGAAAGAGGCACCGGCUACCUACGU
rnacentral:rRNA from 1 species